CUUGUUGAGCAUGUUUUUGGACUGUGGGAGGAAGCUGGAGAGAAACAGAAAGGCACCUGCCCCAUCAGGGAUUCGAACCAGGGUCCUUCUUGCUAUGAGCAGGUUGAGCAGCUUACAUAACCAGUGAUGAUGAGUGACAAAAAAGAAGAAGAGAAGAAAAUUGGAGAAUAUCAGCUGUGUAACCAUCAAAAGAAAGAACAUGAAGAACAUGUCCCAACUCUCUCAUCCACAGUCAAUCAGUGCCGAAAUUACUCGGCCAAAUGUGACAGUUGACAACCAAAGCUUUCAUUAGAUAUUUCCUGGUGAAUCAGAAUGCAACCCGUUACACUUCUUUCUCCAGCUUCCACUCAAGCAGCCAGAGUAUAAACCACCUGGCAUACUUAACAUCAGAUGCAUGACCUCAGUGUGCUGGCUUUAGCACCUCAAGUGUCUCAUUUAAAGCAGGCAGGUAUGGUCCUUAUAGCUUUCCAAUAGUGAAUAAAGCCUGUCCUUGUUCUGUUGUUCUCUCCAAUAAAAGGUAGUAAUCUAUAAACCUGGUAGGCUGGAUCCAGGAGAGGUGCCAUCCUGAGACAGAUUAUGUGGUGCUAACAGGAUCGUCAUAGCUGGAUGAGACCAGAGAGGAAAAUAAUAAAGAAAAAGGCCUUCUAUUGACUGUGCUCCUGUCAGACCUGCUGUGGUUUUUUUCACAGGGCUUCUUGGGUGCCAAUUGGUGUAUUUAUAUCAAGCCAUGAUGGAUUAGUAUGCCUAGAUUCAUCACAAGCAACAAAUGGGCUUCCAGGGAAAUUCCUGUGCCCAUCCCUGACAGAGGGGGUCUUACACCACAAAUGGAUGUCUCUGUUUUUCUACGGAUCGAUGGACAGUUCAGAUGUUGUACAGAGCCACCUACAACGGCUGGCUUCCAGCCCAGGUUCACCGUGCUUCUAGUGCUCGACUCGCAGCAUCCCUUCGAAGUCCACCCAGCAGGCAAGUGGGGUUUCAGCUGAGAUCAAAAGACCGCCUAGAAUGCCAAUGGAAGUUCAGAUCCGCCUUUUUUUUUACUCUCCAUCCUUUGCAACAUUUGGAGCAGAUGUCAGUAUAGAGAUUAACAAGUACAGCUGCUAUCCACCUUGGGAAUCUGAAUGUGAAGGGCACUGAGGCCCAUUAACACUUAAAGUUUAAGUGCAUUUUCUGAUAGAGUCAAGGUGUCUCAUGAUAUCUUUAAGCAAAAAACAACUUCAGAGAAAUAAAUAUUUACCACUCA